UAGGAGACAAGCUAACAAACAUCUCUCUAUCCCUCGCUCUUGGUAGCCAUGGCUGCUGACGUGAACCUCCUGAGCCUCCAGACUCUGCCACAAUGACCAGAGACCAUCCGAGACCACCCGAGACUUCAAGGGCAAGUAAUCUUCAUGGUCAAACAUUAUCUACAGUCAAACCUUUCUUCGUGGUCAAGUAUAACACUCCGGCCGAGAGAUAGCUGGACCUGCUUCCAGAGACACUGUCAGAUACUCCAUUGGUUCUGCUCCUCUGGAGAGCACCGACUAAUAUGAUAUUGAUUGGAAGCAGAGAGAUAAAAGGAUCAUGAAGGGCUGAUGAAAGAAGCCAACUGAAAAUAGAAUUUUCAACUGAUGACAACGUACUGCUGUUCUAUAGCUAGAGCAGCCAGCCAUACAUGCUUCCUUCUGAUUUCCCUUGUACUUACUUGCAUAAAUUAAUAUGUAACUUAAAAAAUCAAAUAAAAAAUAAUGCCACCUCAAGAUAGA